AACCUGGUUGAUCCUGCCGGAGGCUACCGCUAUUGGAGUUCGAUUAAGCCAUGCGAGUCGCGAGAAAUUAGAUUCUCGGCGUACCGCUCAGUAACACGUGGGUAACCUGCCCUAUGCUGGAUAAUAACCUCGGGAAACUGAGAAUAAUGAUCCAUAGUUCACUACGCCUGGAACGGUGAGUGGAUGAAAGCUCCGGCGGCAUAGGAUGGGCCUGCGGCGUAUCAGGUUGUAGGGGGUGUAACGUACCCUCUAGCCCUCUACGCGUACGGGUGUUGGGAGACAUAGCCCGGAGAUGGAUUCUGAGACACGAAUCCAGACCCUACGGGGUGCAGCAGGCGCGAAAACUUGGCAAUGCGAGAAAUCGUGACCAGGGAACUCCAAGUGCAUGGGGUAAGACCCAUGCUUUUCUUGACUCUAAAUAGGUCUUGGAAUAAGGGGUGGGUAAGGACGGUGCCAGCCGCCGCGGUAAUACCGGCGCCUCAAGUGGUAGUCGCUUUUAUUGGGCCUAAAACGUCCGUAGCCGGUCUGAUACAUUCGUGGGUAAAUCAACCAGCUUAACUGGUUGAAUUCUGCGAGGACGGUCAGACUUGGGACCGGGAGAGGUGUGGGGUACGCUCAGGGUAGGGGUAAAAUCCUGUCAUCCUGAGCGGACCACCUGUUGCGAAGGCGCCACACUAGAACGGAUCCGACGGUCAGGGACGAAGCCUAGGGGCACGAACCGGAUUAGAUACCCGGGUAGUCCUAGGUGUAAACGCUGUGGACUUGGUGUUGGGGAUUCUCCGAGGAUCCUCAGUGCCGAAGCGAANGUGAUAAGUCCACUGCCUGGGGAGUACGGUCGCAAGGCUGAAACUUAAAGGAAUUGGCGGGGGAGCACCGCAACCUGAGGAUUGUGCGGUUUAAUUGGAUUCAACGCCCGGAAACUCACCAGUGCCGACGACAAAUGAAAGCCAGUUUGAUGA
rnacentral:rRNA from 1 species